CGUGUCGUGAGAUGUUGGGUUAAGUCCCGCAACGAGCGCAACCCUCGCCCUUAGUUGCCAGCAUUUAGUUGGGCACUCUAAGGGGACUGCCGGUGAUAAGCCGAAAGGAAGGUGGGGAUGACGUCAAGUCCUCAUGGCCCUUACGGGCUGGGCUACACACGUGCUACAAUGGUGGUGACAGUGGGCAGCGAGACAGCGAUGUCGAGCUAAUCUCCAAAAGCCAUCUCAGUUCGGAUUGCACUCUGCAACUCGAGUGCAUGAAGUUGGAAUCGCUAGUAAUCGCAGAUCAGCAUGCUGCGGUGAAUACGUUCCCGGGUCUUGUACACACCGA
rnacentral:rRNA from 2 species